UACGUAGGGGGCAAGCGUUGUCCGGAUUUAUUGGGCGUAAAGAGCGUGUAGGCGGCCUGACAGGUCUGCUGUGAAAACUCGAGGCUCAACCUCGAGAUGUCGGCGGAAACCGUCUGGCUAGAGUCCGGAAGAGGAGAGUGGAAUCCUGGUGUAGCGGUGAAAUGCGCAGAUAUCAGGAGGAACACCGAUGGCGAAGGCAGGUCUCUGGGCCACUACUGACGCUGAGAAGCGAAAGCAUGGGGAGCGAACAGG
rnacentral:rRNA from 1 species